GACAGAGGGGGCAAGCGUUGUCCGGACUGACUGGGCGUAAAGCGCGCGCAGGCGGUCAGAGGCGUCGGUGCUCAAAGUCCACCGCUUAACGGUGGGAGGCGUGCCGAUACGCUCUGACUGGAGGGCGGGCGAGGGUGGUGGAAUUGCCGGUGUAGUGGUGAAAUUCGUAGAUAUUCGCAAGAACACCAGUGGCGAAGGCGGCUCACUGGCCCGGUACUGACGCUGAGGCACGAAAGCGUGGGGAGCAAACAGG
rnacentral:rRNA from 1 species